rnacentral:rRNA from 1 species
AAACAUGUCUUUUAGAUUAUAAUUUAAAGUCAAAUYUGCUCCAUGAAAUUAUUUAAAUAGCCGCAGUACUUUGACUGUGCAAAGGUAGCAAAAUCAAUAGUUUCUUAAUUAGAUGCUGGAAUGAACGAUUUAAUAAGGUAAAUAUUGUCUCAAUUUUAAUAAUAUUAGAAUUUUUUUUUUAGUAAAAAAACUAAAUUGAAUUUAAAAGACGAGAAGACCCUAUAGAUUUUUAUAUUUUUAAUUAUAGUUUAUAAAAAAUAAUUAAAUAUUAUAAUUAAAAAUAUUUGGUUGGGAUAAUUAUUAAAUUUAUUAAAUUUUAGUUUAUAAAUAUUUAAAAUUUUAAUUUAUUGAUAAGCAAUAAUUAUUGGAAUUAUUUAUUUAAUGGUCUUGAAAUUUAAAAUAUAAGAAUAAAAUACCUUAGGGAUAACAGCGUAAUUUUUUUGGAAAGAUCAUAUUAAUAAAAAAGUUUGCGACCUCGAUGUUGAAUUAAGGUAAAAUUUUAAUGGAAAAAUUAAAAAUUUUUAGUCUGUUCGACUAUUAAUAUCUUACGUGA